GACGCGAAAGCUAGGGUAGCAACGGGAUUAGAUACCCCGGUAGUCCUAGCUGUAAACGAUGGAUACUAGGUGUGGGUGGUAUUGACCCAUCCGUGCGUAGCUAACGCGAUAAGUAUCCCGCUGGGACUACGGCCGCAAGGUUAAAACUCAAAUGAAAUUGACGGGGGCCCGCACAAGCGGUGGAGCAUGUGGUUUAAUUCGAUGCAACGCGAAGACCCUUACCUACUCUUGACAUCCAGAGAACUUAGCAGAGAUGCUUUGGUGCCUUCGGGAACUCUGAGACAGGUGCUGCAUGGCUGUCGUCAGCUCGUGUUGUGAAAUGUUGGGUUAAGUCCCGCAACGAGCGCAACCCUUAUCCUUUGUUGCCAGCGGUUAGGCCGGGAACUCAAAGGAGACUGCCAGUGAUAAACUGGAGGAAGGUGGGGAUGACGUCAAGUCAUCAUGGCCCUUACGAGUAGGGCUACACACGUGCUACAAUGGCGCAUACAAAGAGAAGCGACCUCGCGAGAGCAAGCGGACCUCAUAAAGUGCGUCGUAGUCCGGAUUGGAGUCUGCAACUCGACUCCAUGAAGUCGGAAUCGCUAGUAAUCGUAGAUCAGAAUGCUACGGUGAAUACGUUCCCGGGCCCUGUACACACCGCCCGUCACACCAUGGGAGUGGGUUGCAAAAGAAGUAGGUAGCUUAACCUUCGGGAGGGCGCUUACCACUUUGUGAUUCAUGACUGGGGUGAAGUCGUAACAAGGUAAAUCC
rnacentral:rRNA from 1 species